GUGCUUGCUUCAGCAGCACCUAUACUAAAAUUGGAACUAUAUGGAGAAGAUUAGUAUGGCCCCUGUGUAAAGAUGACAUGCAAAUAUGUGACACAUUCAAUAAUGUU
ensembl:snRNA U6 U6 spliceosomal RNA